CCCAGCUUGCUGGGUGGAUCAGUGGCGAACGGGUGAGUAACACGUGAGCAACCUGCCCCAGACUUCGGGAUAAGCCUUGGAAACGAGGUCUAAUACUGGAUAUGAGGUCACAUCGCAUGGUGUGGUCUGGAAAGAUUUAUCGGUCUGGGAUGGGCUCGCGGCCUAUCAGCUUGUUGGUGGGGUAGUGGCCUACCAAGGCGACGACGGGUAGCCGGCCUGAGAGGGCGACCGGCCACACUGGGACUGAGACACGGCCCAGACUCCUACGGGAGGCAGCAGUGGGGAAUAUUGCACAAUGGGCGCAAGCCUGAUGCAGCGACGCCGCGUGAGGGAUGAAGGCCUUCGGGUUGUAAACCUCUUUCAGCAGGGAAGAAGCGCAAGUGACGGUACCUGCAGAAGAAGCGCCGGCUAACUACGUGCCAGCAGCCGCGGUAAUACGUAGGGCGCAAGCGUUGUCCGGAAUUAUUGGGCGUAAAGAGCUCGUAGGCGGUCUGUCGCGUCUGGUGUGAAAACUCAAGGCUCAACCUUGAGCUUGCAUCGGGUACGGGCAGACUAGAGUGCGGUAGGGGAGACUGGAAUUCCUGGUGUAGCGGUGGAAUGCGCAGAUAUCAGGAGGAACACCGAUGGCGAAGGCAGGUCUCUGGGCCGCAACUGACGCUGAGGAGCGAAAGCAUGGGGAGCGAACAGGAUUAGAUACCCUGGUAGUCCAUGCCGUAAACGUUGGGCACUAGGUGUGGGGCUCAUUCCACGAGUUCCGUGCCGCAGCAAACGCAUUAAGUGCCCCGCCUGGGGAGUACGGCCGCAAGGCUAAAACUCAAAGGAAUUGACGGGGGCCCGCACAAGCGGCGGAGCAUGCGGAUUAAUUCGAUGCAACGCGAAGAACCUUACCAAGGCUUGACAUACACCGGAAACUUCCAGAGAUGGUUGCCCCGCAAGGUCGGUGUACAGGUGGUGCAUGGUUGUCGUCAGCUCGUGUCGUGAGAUGUUGGGUUAAGUCCCGCAACGAGCGCAACCCUCGUCCUAUGUUGCCAGCACGUGAUGGUGGGGACUCAUAGGAGACUGCCGGGGUCAACUCGGAGGAAGGUGGGGAUGACGUCAAAUCAUCAUGCCCCUUAUGUCUUGGGCUUCACGCAUGCUACAAUGGCCGGUACAAAGGGCUGCGAUACCGUAAGGUGGAGCGAAUCCCAAAAAGCCGGUCUCAGUUCGGAUUGGGGUCUGCAACUCGACCCCAUGAAGUCGGAGUCGCUAGUAAUCGCAGAUCAGCAACGCUGCGGUGAAUACGUUCCCGGGCCUUGUACACACCGCCCGUCAAGUCACGAAAGUCGGUAACACCCGAAG
rnacentral:rRNA from 1 species